UCCAAGCAGUAAGGCCGAGUGGUAGGCAAAUCCGCCACUCAUCAAGCUGAGCUGUGAUGGGGAGAGGAAAUUGUUUCCUCGAGUCGUUGAUUUCACACUGCCGAGAAAAGCCUCUAGCCAGGAUCCGGGUGCCCGUACCGGAAACCGACACAGGUAGGCGAGGAGAGAAUCCUAAGGUGAGCGAGAGAACCCUCGUUAAGGAACUCGGCAAAAUGACCCCGUAACU
rnacentral:rRNA from 1 species